GACGAACGCUGGCGGCGUGCUUAACACAUGCAAGUCGAACGGAAAGGCCCUGCUUUUGUGGGGUGCUCGAGUGGCGAACGGGUGAGUAACACGUGAGUAACCUGCCCUUGACUUUGGGAUAACUUCAGGAAACUGGGGCUAAUACCGGAUAGGAGCUCCUGCUGCAUGGUGGGGGUUGGAAAGUUUCGGCGGUUGGGGAUGGACUCGCGGCUUAUCAGCUUGUUGGUGGGGUAGUGGCUUACCAAGGCUGUGACGGGUAGGCGGCCUGAGAGGGUGACCGGCCACAUUGGGACUGAGAUACGGCCCAGACUCCUACGGGAGGCAGCAGUGGGGAAUCUUGCACAAUGGGCGGAAGCCUGAUGCAGCAACGCCGCGUGCGGGAUGACGGCCUUCGGGUUGUAAACCGCUUUCGCCUGUGACGAAGCGUGAGUGACGGUAAUGGGUAAAGAAGCACCGGCUAACUACGUG
rnacentral:rRNA from 1 species